rnacentral:rRNA from 1 species
GACAGGUGGUGCAUGGUUGUCGUCAGCUCGUGUCGUGAGAUGUUGGGUUAAGUCCGCAACGAGCGCAACCCCUAUUAUUAGUUGCCAGCAUUUAGUUGGGCACUCUAGUGAGACUGCCGUUGACAAACGGAGGAAGGUGGGGACGACGUCAAAUCAUCAUGCCCCUCAUGUCCUGGGCCACACACGCACUACAAUGGCAACAACAGAGGGCAGCCAGGCCGCGAGGUUGAGCGAAUCCCAAAAUGUUGUCUCAGUUCAGAUUGCAGGCUGCAACUCGCCUGCAUGAAGUCGGAAUUGCUAGUAAUGGCAGGUCAGCAUACUGCCGUGAAUACGUUCCCGGGCCUU